AUGCACGGACAGCAGAAAUUAAUUGAGAAAGAGAUGCUUAUUUUGUUUGAGAUUUGUAUGGUUUUUUGUGAUAGGUUUUCAGAAGUUGUUUCGGGUCGCGGUGGGUGUUGUUGGCGUUUGCAUGAUGACGGUGAUGACGGAACUGGAGGAUGGUUGGAGCGGCACUGGAUGAAGGUGUCGCGGACCUCUGAAUCAGAGGGACAAGGAACGUGUGGAAGUAUAGAUGAAGCAUCAAUUAUUUUGCACUAUUGGGUAAAGCUGCUACAGUGGAGUUCGUGGAAGAAGACAAUGUGA